AAAGCUAGAGAGAAGGAACUUAAUGCAAAAGAGCCUGAACUGAAUAAGAGGGAACAAGAAUUGAAAAGGAAGGAGGAUGCAAUAGCACGAGCUGGAAUUGUAAUAGAGGAGAAAAAUUGGCCACUAUUUUUUUCCUAUUAUCCAUCAUGAUAUUGCAAAUGAAAUACCAAUCCACCUGCAAAAGAUGCAAUAUGUUGCUUUCACAACAUUUUUA